GCACCGUUAGCUCAGCUGGAUAGAGUGUCCGGCUACGAACCGGAAGGUCGGGGGUUCGAACCCCUCACGGUGCA
rnacentral:tRNA from 1 species